rnacentral:sRNA from 1 species
AGCCAGCUGACGAUAGAAUCGUUGUCAAACUUUUCUCCGCCUGUCCGUGUUGUCUAGGCUACUUGGCUCCCAGCAUCAUUUGUCUUCGUUCACAUCAGUCUCCAGAAUAUUUUCUGUCAUCAUUUUUUGUCCGACAGAAGGCGAUCAGGGGGUUCUGAAGAAGCCUCAAAGUCUUUUUGUUCAGGUCGGUUGUUUGUCUGUGUUUAGAAGUCUUGUAAAAUGCGCAACAACCUGUAUCAUGUAGGAGCGAGAGAGAAACUAAGGAGGAUUUAGAGAGAUAAACACGCAGCAGCAGCUUUGUGGCCUACUACUUACUACUACCGAUAUGUUGAUGAUAAUAAUACCCACUGCUGCUCGUCCGAUCGACGUUAAGCAGUAUUUUGUACAACUACUUCUUGAAUGAAGGCUGUUGAAGAUUUUCUU